UACGAAGGGGGCUAGCGUUGUUCGGAUUUACUGGGCGUAAAGCGCACGUAGGCGGAUUGGUCAGUUAGGGGUGAAAUCCUGGAGCUCAACUCCAGAACUGCCUUCGAUACUGGCGAUCUCGAGUUCGGGAGAGGUGAGUGGAACUGCGAGUGUAGAGGUGAAAUUCGUAGAUAUUCGCAAGAACACCAGUGGCGAAGGCGGCUCACUGGCCCGAUACUGACGCUGAGGUGCGAAAGCGUGGGGAGCAAACAGG
rnacentral:rRNA from 1 species